UAGCACAGAGAGCUUGCUCUCGGGUGACGAGCGGCGGACGGGUGAGUAAUGUCUGGGAAACUGCCUGAUGGAGGGGGAUAACUACUGGAAACGGUAGCUAAUACCGCAUAAUGUCGCAAGACCAAAGUGGGGGACCUUCGGGCCUCAUGCCAUCAGAUGUGCCCAGAUGGGAUUAGCUAGUAGGUGGGGUAACGGCUCACCUAGGCGACGAUCCCUAGCUGGUCUGAGAGGAUGACCAGCCACACUGGAACUGAGACACGGUCCAGACUCCUACGGGAGGCAGCAGUGGGGAAUAUUGCACAAUGGGCGCAAGCCUGAUGCAGCCAUGCCGCGUGUGUGAAGAAGGCCUUCGGGUUGUAAAGCACUUUCAGCGGGGAGGAAGGCGGUGAGGUUAAUAACCUUGUCGAUUGACGUUACCCGCAGAAGAAGCACCGGCUAACUCCGUGCCAGCAGCCGCGGUAAUACGGAGGGUGCAAGCGUUAAUCGGAAUUACUGGGCGUAAAGCGCACGCAGGCGGUCUGUC
rnacentral:rRNA from 1 species